UUAUCAUUAACUUGUGGUCAUUAUUAGUUUACAAGUGCAUAAGCCAACUCAACUUUCAAAAUUUUAAUAUAAAUUUGCAAAAUGCAUCUCAAAUCCUUUCAACUCGUAGUUUUCCUUUUGUUUGUCCUGAUUUUUACAGUAAAUGCGAUGACAAUUUACGAAUUUGUGAACGAAGAGCCAGAUUGGGAUUCUCAUCGGAAAUCACUACCAAUUCCUAUCCACCCUGUCUUUCGAAGGCAAAUUGAUCCAAAUAAUCCUGCUGAGGGAUAUUCAUCCUACGAAUGAAUAACAGCAUUAUGCUUAUCAUUUUCAUUAAAUUAUU